rnacentral:rRNA from 1 species
GAUGAACGCUGGCGGCGUGCCUAAUACAUGCAAGUCGAGCGAACAGACGAGGAGCUUGCUCCUCUGACGUUAGCGGCGGACGGGUGAGUAACACGUGGAUAACCUACCUAUAAGACUGGGAUAACUUCGGGAAACCGGAGCUAAUACCGGAUAAUAUAUUGAACCGCAUGGUUCAAUAGUGAAAGACGGUUUUGCUGUCACUUAUAGAUGGAUCCGCGCCGCAUUAGCUAGUUGGUAAGGUAACGGCUUACCAAGGCAACGAUGCGUAGCCGACCUGAGAGGGUGAUCGGCCACACUGGAACUGAGACACGGUCCAGACUCCUACGGGAGGCAGCAGUAGGGAAUCUUCCGCAAUGGGCGAAAGCCUGACGGAGCAACGCCGCGUGAAUGAUGAAGGUCUUCGGAUCGUAAAACUCUGUUAUUAGGGAAGAACAAAUGUGUAAGUAACUAUGCGCGUCUUGACGGUACCUAAUCAGAAAGCCACGGCUAACUACGUG